UACGAAGGGGGCUAGCGUUGCUCGGAAUUACUGGGCGUAAAGGGCGCGUAGGCGGUCUGCCAAGUCAGGCGUGAAAUUCCUGGGCUUAACCUGGGGGCUGCGCUUGAGACUGGUGGGCUAGAGGACGGAAGAGGGUCGUGGAAUUCCCAGUGUAGAGGUGAAAUUCGUAGAUAUUGGGAAGAACACCGGUGGCGAAGGCGGCGACCUGGUCCGUUACUGACGCUGAGGCGCGACAGCGUGGGGAGCAAACAGG
rnacentral:rRNA from 2 species